rnacentral:rRNA from 1 species
AGAGUUUGAUCCUGGCCCAGGACGAACGCUGGCGGCGUGCCUAAUACAUGCAAGUUGAGCGCUGAAGGUUGGUACUUGUACCAACUGGAUGAGCAGCGAACGGGUGAGUAACGCGUGGGGAAUCUGCCUUUGAGCGGGGGACAACAUUUGGAAACGAAUGCUAAUACCGCAUAAAAACUUUAAACACAAGUUUUAAGUUUGAAAGAUGCAAUUGCAUCACUCAAAGAUGAUCCCGCGUUGUAUUAGCUAGUUGGUGAGGUAAAGGCUCACCAAGGCGAUGAUACAUAGCCGACCUGAGAGGGUGAUCGGCCACAUUGGGACUGAGACACGGCCCAAACUCCUACGGGAGGCAGCAGUAGGGAAUCUUCGGCAAUGGACGAAAGUCUGACCGAGCAACGCCGCGUGAGUGAAGAAGGUUUUCGGAUCGUAAAACUCUGUUGGUAGAGAAGAACGUUGGUGAGAGUGGAAAGCUUCAUCAAGUGACGGUAACUACCCAAAAGGGACGGCUAACUACGUGCAACAAGCCGNGGAAUACCUAGGUCCNANCGUUUCCGGAUUAUUGGGCCUAAACNANCCCAAGUGGGUUAAUAAGCUNGGGUAAAAGCAUGGGUUAACNUUUGGUUCCNUGGA